CUGACACAUACAGACAGAAAGUAGAAUAGUCGUGGUCAGAGGCUGGGUAAUUGGAGAACAGAUAAUAAUUGCUACCUGGGCAUGGGCUUCUCUUUUGCAGUGAUGAGAACGUUUUGUGAUCAGGCAGGAGUGGUGGUUGCAUGAUUUUGUGAGUAUGUGAAAGACCACGGAAUUACGCACUUUAAAACUCCAUAAAGAAAUUCUCAGCUGUGCAUGGUAGCACAUGCCUGUAAUUCCGGCACUCUGGGAGGCUGAAGCAGGAGGAUCAAAGUUCAAGUGCUCCCUGGCAACUCAGCAAGUUAGAGAGAUCCCAUCUAAAAUAAAAAAUAUGGUAAUUCAAGGACUGGCGAUGUAGGUCAGUACAAAGGCCCUGGGUUCAACCCUCAGUACCACAGAAAGAAAAAGAAGAAAAAAAGAUUAUUUGACCUACUCCUGUCAGAUCACAGGCCCUUCUCAUUCUAAAGAAGUCCUGCCUUGUAUCCUGGAGGAAGGAAAGCUACAUAGGAGGCCCAAAAUAACAAAAGGCCUUGUUGGACUUCCCCACUCAUUCCAUGGACAACCAUAUCUAUGCAAUGAAGUCUACAUGUAAUCCCAAAAAGAACAGUACUUCUUUCCUUAUCUCUGGGACAGCAGGGCCUACAAGAGGAUUACAGAGUUGCAAGGUGGCAGAGUGGGAGGCAGCAGAGAAAGAAUCUCUCUGACUGCUGCCAUCCAGAUACUGGAAUAUAGCAACAUAGGGAAGACAAGAAGGAGGGAAGUGGGUCUCCAGGAUCCAGGAAGGAACUGAGGUGUGAAUUGAAGACCACAGAGAGAGUGAAGAGAGAAAUUUCAAUGAAGAAGGAGGUACCCAAGGGUACGUUCUCUCUGAGACAGGAUGUCCUGCAUGAGAGGUGAAAUUCAGACCUGUAGAUACAUGGCAAGUGCUGGUGAUCCCAAAGGCCUCCACGAAGAGUCGAAGCAGUGAGGCAGAGCAGUGGACCUGAAGGACUGCAUUAAACUGACAGUGAGUGCGGAGGGCUCAGUCUUUUCACGUGAGAGCGACUGGCCGGGAAUCAUUUUGGAGAGGGGCAGGCCAAGUCACUGCUGGCUCCAGCCAGUGGCUCCCAGCUGGGCUCAGGCCCACAGAAGGUACACUGAUGACUACAGGCUGCCAGAAGGUGGAGGCUCACUGAGAUUAUUCACUACGUGCCAAAAAGCUACUGCAGGCUUGCUGGGAUAAGUCAAUAUGGAUCACGACUCUGUCACCAUAUGCUGUCUACCAGUGACAGCAGAGAUAAACCUAGAAGUGGACCUUUC